rnacentral:rRNA from 1 species
AUACGGAGGGUGCAAGCGUUACUCGGAAUCACUGGGCGUAAAGCGCGCGCAGGCGGGCUGAUAAGUUGGAUGUGAAAGCCUACGGCUCAACCGUAGAACUGCAUCCAAAACUGUCAGUCUAGAGUCUGGGAGGGGAAGAUGGAAUUAGUUGUGUAGGGGUAAAAUCCGUAGAGAUAACUAGGAAUACCAAAAGCGAAGGCGAUCUUCUGGAACACUACUGACGCUGAGGCGCGAAAGCGUGGGGAGCAAACGGGAUUAGAUACCCUAGUAGUCC